rnacentral:rRNA from 1 species
GGCGAGUGAAGCGGUAACAGCUCAAAUUUGAAAUCUGGUCCCCUCUGGGGGCCCGAGUUGUAAUUUGAAGAGGAUGCUUUUGGCGAGGCGCCUUCCGAGUGCCCUGGAACGGGACGCCACAGAGGGUGAGAGCCCCGUAUGGUAGGACGCCGAGCCUCUGUAAAGCUCCUUCGACGAGUCGAGUAGUUUGGGAAUGCUGCUCAAAAUGGGAGGUAAACCCCUUCUAAAGCUAAAUAUUGGCCAGAGACCGAUAGCGCACAAGUAGAGUGAUCGAAAGAUGAAAAGCACUUUGAAAAGAGAGUUAAACAGCACGUGAAAUUGUUGAAAGGGAAGCGCUUGCGACCAGACUUGCGCCCGUCGGAUCAACCGUCCCUCGUGGGCGGCGCACUCCGGCGGGCUCAGGCCAGCAUCAGUUUUCCCGGGGGGAGAAAGGCGGUGGGAAUGUAGCUCUUCGGAGUGUUAUAGCCUGCCGCGUAAUGCCCCCGGGGGGACUGAGGACCGCGCGUAAGCAAGGAU